rnacentral:rRNA from 1 species
UGGGGAAUAUUGCACAAUGGGCGCAAGCCUGAUGCAGCCAUGCCGCGUGUGUGAAGAAGGCCUUCGGGUUGUAAAGCACUUUCAGCGAGGAGGAAGGUGGUGAGCUUAAUACGCUCAUCAAUUGACGUUACUCGCAGAAGAAGCACCGGCUAACUCCGUGCCAGCAGCCGCGGUAAUACGGAGGGUGCAAGCGUUAAUCGGAAUUACUGGGCGUAAAGCGCACGCAGGCGGUUUGUUAAGUCAGAUGUGAAAUCCCCGGGCUCAACCUGGAACUGCAUUUGAAACUGGCAAGCUAGAGUCUCGUAGAGGGGGUAGAAUUCCAGGUGUAGCGGUGAAAUGCGUAGAGAUCUGGAGGAAUACCGGUGGCGAAGGCGGCCCCCUGGACGAAGACUGACGCUCAGGUGCGAAAGCGUGGGGCAGCAAACAGGAUUAGAUACCCUGGUAGUCACGCUGUAAACGAUGUCGAUUUUGGAGGUUGUGCCCUUGAGGCGUGGCUUCCGGAGCUAACGCGUUAAAUCGACCGCC